AGCGGUCAACCGCAGCCCCGAAGCAGAGGGGCCCCUUCCGGGGAAUCGUCACAAGGCCAACUGUAGCCUCACACUGCGUCGUCCACCUCACGUCAUCUCACAAAGGCAUUCUGUCAUCUCACAUCAUCAUAGGAAGGAAUGAGGAAGAGAGAAGUAAAAGAAAGAAAGAAAAAAAAAGAAAACAAUUCAAGGAAAAACAGAAGCAAAGAAAAUGAACAAAUAAAUGAACCAGCAAACAGAAUGAAACCUGAAUGAAGUUAAAUCCAUUUUCCCCUAGAACUGAAACUGUGAAGACUUUUAUAGUCUGUACACUAAGCAGUAUGAAGACCCAGUAUCAAAUUAAAAUAAGUGGACAGUCCCAGACUUCAGUGACAAAGCACCUUGAUUCCAGCAGUGAUUCCCCAGUCUGCUUUCGCUUUGGGUUUCCAUUGUGACCAUUAACUGCUGAAACUGAGCCCAGAGCCCAUGAUCACAAGAUCUGAACGUCGUUGCGAGGGAUCCUAAAGAGGAAGCAAGAGCUGAGAUGCCUAGUGAAGCAGGAAUCAUCCUGGAACUGUCAGGAUGGGAGUUGGAACACUAAGGAAGGUAGAGGAAAAAGGCGACAGAGCCUGGGGUGUUGACAGUACUGAGAGCUGCUGCACUGUCACCUGUCCAGAAAUUCUUGUUGGUUUUGCAGAAGAAGAAAAGCUAUGGUCUGCUGGAGAAGACUGGGAAGACUUUUCAGAAGAGGAGGCAUUUGGGAAAAAUCUGAAGUUCUGCUGGAAUUUAGGGAGGUGGAGAGAAGUGUGGAGGGCAGCAUUCUCAUGAGCUACCCUUAAAGUUUAGAGCUACUCUUCCUAAUUGUUAUUCUGGAUCCUUUCACUUAUCCCCAGUGUUAAGGAAUGACUCUGUUCUAAACACUGAAAAGCCAUCAACAAUAUGUCAGAUGCCUUGGUAUCAUUUCAUAGAAGAUAUUUGAGAAAAUGAAUAGAGAAACUUUUCAGAUUUUCCUCAUUUAUAAAGCAGAUGAUUAUCCACCCACUACUGCUAGGCCUGCUCUAAUGUAAUUCUGAAAGGACAGAUUUAUCCAGAGUGUAAAGGAGGUGGGCAGACACACAGCUGUUGUUUGGAGAAUAGUACUGGUGUUGAGGUGAAAAAUUACAAUGGCUGAAGACACGAAGUAGAGGCCUUCAGGGGGAACAACUUUAAGCCAUGUGGGUUAACUUUGUUGGGAAACCAUAGUGGUCAACCUUCUGUUACCCAUUUGGAUAGACAGCUCCUAUUUAAAGCCAUGAACCCACAUUUGAAUUUUAUGCAAGGCAGAAGUCUUCUGGGCUUCUCUUUUUAUGGAGAGCAAAGUCACCAGAAAUGCAAUUCAGAAUAUAAAUCACAGGGUACGUAUACAUAAGGAAAUGUCUGCUUUAAAAGGUCAGAUUGUCUUCUAGAAUAAAGAGCCUCUCCCAUUGUGUUUAUCCAAUCAAGCAGCCCCUUCUAUAAAACCCAGGGUUUUCUAAGCCCUAUUUUUCCAAACGUUUAAAGGUAAUUUCCUUCCCUUGUCUAUUCUUACAACUUUUUAAAUAAAUCUAAAUUCAUUCUAAAAUGCACUGAGACACAGAGCACAUAAAACCCAAGGUCAUAUUACUCAACUUCCAGCUUAUCUACAUUUUGUACAAGGAGGAACAAUAGUUAAAAGUUGUAACUUGGAAAAUUCUCCUUAAGACUUUACAAGAAUGCAAACGUGUAAGAAAAGUCAGAAGUCCUCCAAAGACUGCUGUUCUGGGAUAAAGUAAUUUUUCUUUGCUUUGUGUGUGUGUGUGUGUGUGUGUGUGUGUGUGUGUGUGUAUGCUUUAUUCUUUUCUCCUUCAGAACGUAAAGAUUAAAGAACAAUGUUGUUUUACAAUGGGACCUGACUCUAAGAAGCCUGGGCUGGGUUUGUUUUUCUGGAAUUGGCCUUGUCCUCUGGCAAAAAAAAUUUAAAAAUGAUAAAUACACAGCUGCCACUGUCUUGGAUAUAAACAUUUCCAAAGCCUUUCAAACUUAAAACUCAAACUGAUAGUUGCCCAAAGUGUUCUUAAAUUUUGUCUGUGUUCCUAAACCACCUCUUGUUUUCAGUGCUCUAUACAAUUACUGAGCUAUUUGCUGAGAUUAGGCAAGGUGAUAAUUGUACCUAAAUCAUAAACAUAUUUGGUUUAAAGUUUUGACACUUAGUUGUUGUUGCCCUAAUGACACAGCAAACAUGCAGAAUGGAUGAGAGACACCAUGAGGAAUAAUAUUAAAUAUUAAAUUUAGGAAUAAUAUUAAAUAAAGGGGUUAAUAUAAGUUUUCUUGAUGGGUUAUAAAAUGGAAGUAGAUAUGUAUAAAUUAGAUAAAUUCAAAUCAUUAAAUAUUUAUCAGGCAUGAGUAAAAAAUGAGCAUACACUGGCAAAAAAAGAAAACUAAAUGUGACAUGGUCUUAGGUCUUAAAGAGCUUAUAAUUAAGAAAGAUACAAGUAAAUGUUUAGUUAGCUGUCAAAAACGAGUGAAAAGAUGUGCUGAUUGGUAUUUACUUGAAGAGUCCUUUUAUGACUAUCCCAAAUAAUUUCUCUGUAGGUUCUGUGCAUAAUAAAGCAAAACAAGAAACCCAACUCAAUUAUUUAAACCAGCUUGGUAGAUGAAUGACUACAUCACAUUAAAAUGCUACUUUACUUUAUAUGACAAUCAUUAUAGCCGGAAAAAAUUCAAUAAAAUAAUACGUAUGGUAUAAUUAACCAUUUUCCC